rnacentral:ncRNA from 1 species
AAAGUUUUAUUUUAACUUAAAAUUUUAGUUUAUUUUUAUUUAUAUGUAAAUUUUAUUUGUUAAAAAUUUUGUUGCAGUUUAGAGUAUUAAAAAAUUAUUUAAGUAAGUUUUAGUAAUUAAUUAAAGAUUUAAUAAAAUUUGUGCCAGCAAUUGCGGUUAUACAAAUAAAUUCAAUUAAAAUUUAUUGAUUAGUAAUUAAUUUUUUAUUGAAAAUUUGUUUUUAAUAUUUUAAAGUGAAAUUUAAAUUUUAAUUUAGGUUUUUUAUUUUUAUAUGAAGUUACUAAAAUUAAUAUUAAACUAGGAUUAGAUACCCUAUUAUUAUAAUAGUAAAUUUAAAUAUCAAAUUAGUAUUAGUUAUAUUCUUAAAAAUUAAAAGAUUUGGCGGUAUUUUAGUCUAUUCAGAGGAACCUGUCCUGUAAUUGAUAAUCCACAAUUAUAAUUACUUUUCUUGUACUUGUAUAUCGUUGUUUUUGAAUAUUUUAUAAGAAUUUAAAUUUUCAAUAAGUAUAUAAUAGUUUAUUUCAGAUCAAGGUGCAGUUUUAGGAAAGAAGAGGUGGGUUACAUUAAAUUUAUUUUUGGUUUAUAAUUUUAAAUAAUUUUAUUAAAUUGGAUUUGAUAGUAAUAUUUUAUAUAUUUGAAAUAUGAUUUUAGCUCUAAAAUGUGUACAUAUUGCCCGUCGCUCUCAUUAUUUUGAGAUAAGUCGUAACAAAGUAGAUUUACUGGAAAGUGAAUCUAGAAUUAUU